UACGUAGGGCGCAAGCGUUGUCCGGAAUUAUUGGGCGUAAAGAGCUCGUAGGCGGUCUGUUGCGUCCGCUGUGAAAACUCGGGGCUUAACCCCGAGCCUGCAGUGGAUACGGGCAGACUAGAGGUAGGUAGGGGAGAAUGGAAUUCCCGGUGUAGCGGUGAAAUGCGCAGAUAUCGGGAGGAACACCUGCGGCGAAGGCGGGUUGCUGGGCUGACACUGACGCUGAGGCGCGAAAGCCAGGGGAGCGAACGGG
rnacentral:rRNA from 1 species